UUUACCACCAACCCUGAUUCUGGAAACCAAGGACCACUCUUUCUAGAGCUGGAUGCUUCCAUCAGAAUGAAGAACCCUCGCAAGCUGGAAGGUGAGGGCUCCACAGCAAGCACACAGGAGCAUCCAGUCUGUAACAAGAUUAAAGGCUUAAGUGUCCUGAAACAGAAGAUUCUCAGAAGAAAACUGCUGUUUGGCAAGUGGAGACUAGCGUGCAGAUUCCCUGGCCUUCAAGCUUAGGGUACAGAGAUACCAAUUACUUUAGGAACUAAGGAAAGAUAUUGUCAAUUUGAGAAACCACACUAUAAAAUGUACCUUUUCCAUUUGAUGCAAAAAAAUAUCUACGACAGCAACUCAAUUUAAACCUCAGCAACACUGGAGGGAUCCUUUCCUGAGAAUGAGCAUCCCAACCGACAACCACGCUCCACACCCCAAGGGACAGAAUUGA